rnacentral:rRNA from 1 species
CAUAGGUUAAUGAGGCGAACCGGGGGAACUGAAACAUCUAAGUACCCCGAGGAAAAGAAAUCAACCGAGAUUCCCCCAGUAGCGGCGAGCGAACGGGGAGCAGCCCAGAGCCUGAAUCAGUGUGUGUGUUAGUGGAAGCGUCUGGAAAGGCGCGCGAUACAGGGUGACAGCCCCGUACACAAAAAUGCACAUGCUGUGAGCUCGAUGAGUAGGGCGGGACACGUGGUAUCCUGUCUGAAUAUGGGGGGACCAUCCUCCAAGGCUAAAUACUCCUGACUGACCGAUAGUGAACCAGUACCGUGAGGGAAAGGCGAAAAGAACCCCGGCGAGGGGAGUGAAAAAGAACCUGAAACCGUGUACGUACAAGCAGUGGGAGCACGCUUAGGCGUGUGACUGCGUACCUUUUGUAUAAUGGGUCAGCGACUUAUAUUCUGUAGCAAGGUUAACCGAAUAGGGGAGCCGAAGGGAAACCGAGUCUUAACUGGGCGUUAAGUUGCAGGGUAUAGACCCGAAACCCGGUGAUCUAGCCAUGGGCAGGUUGAAGGUUGGGUAACACUAACUGGAGGACCGAACCGACUAAUGUUGAAAAAUUAGCGGAUGACUUGUGGCUGGGGGUGAAAGGCCAAUCAAACCGGGAGAUAGCUGGUUCUCCCCGAAAGCUAUUUAGGUAGCGCCUCGUGAAUUCAUCUCCGGGGGUAGAGCACUGUUUCGGCAAGGGGGUCAUCCCGACUUACCAACCCGAUGCAAACUGCGAAUACCGGAGAAUGUUAUCACGGGAGACACACGGCGGGUGCUAACGUCCGUCGUGAAGAGGGAAACAACCCAGACCGCCAGCUAAGGUCCCAAAGUCAUGGUUAAGUGGGAAACGAUGUGGGAAGGCCCAGACAGCCAGGAUGUUGGCUUAGAAGCAGCCAUCAUUUAAAGAAAGCGUAAUAGCUCACUGGUCGAGUCGGCCUGCGCGGAAGAUGUAACGGGGCUAAACCAUGCACCGAAGCUGCGGCAGCGACGCUUAUGCGUUGUUGGGUAGGGGAGCGUUCUGUAAGCCUGUGAAGGUGUACUGUGAGGUAUGCUGGAGGUAUCAGAAGUGCGAAUGCUGACAUAAGUAACGAUAAAGCGGGUGAAAAGCCCGCUCGCCGGAAGACCAAGGGUUCCUGUCCAACGUUAAUCGGGGCAGGGUGAGUCGACCCCUAAGGCGAGGCCGAAAGGCGUAGUCGAUGGGAAACAGGUUAAUAUUCCUGUACUUGGUGUUACUGCGAAGGGGGGACGGAGAAGGCUAUGUUGGCCGGGCGACGGUUGUCCCGGUUUAAGCGUGUAGGCUGGUUUUCCAGGCAAAUCCGGAAAAUCAAGGCUGAGGCGUGAUGACGAGGCACUACGGUGCUGAAGCAACAAAUGCCCUGCUUCCAGGA